GAUGAACGCUGGCGGCGUGCUUAAUACAUGCAAGUCGAACGGAGAAUUAGCAAUAGUUCUUAGUGGCGAACGGGUGAGUAACGCGUUGGUGACCUGCCCCGAAGAGAGGGAUAACAGUUCGAAAGGACUGCUAAUACCGCAUGUGGUUGUUGAGGUUAGAGGCUUGACAACUAAAGGAGAAAUCCGCUUCGGGAGGGGCCUGCGUCCCAUCAGCUAGUUGGUAGGGUAAAGGCCUACCAAGGCGAAGACGGGUAGGGGGCCUGAGAGGGUGACCCCCCACACUGGCACUGAAACAACGGGCCGAGACACCUACGGGUGGCAG
rnacentral:rRNA from 1 species